rnacentral:rRNA from 1 species
UACGUAGGGUGCAAGGCGUUUGUCCGGAUUAUUGGGCGUAAAGGGCUCGUAGGCGGUCCAUCGCGUCGGGAGUGAAAAGCUGGGGCUUAACCCCAGUCCGUGCUUCCGAUGACGGGUGGACUAGAGGUAGGCAGGGGAGAACGGAAUUCCAGGUGUAGCGGUGAAAUGACGUAGAUAUCUGGAGGAACACCGGUGGCGAAGGCGGCAUCCUGGACCGAUACUGACGCUGAGGAGCGAAAGCCAGGGGAGCAAACGGG